UACGUAGGGUGCAAGCGUUGUCCGGAAUUAUUGGGCGUAAAGAGCUCGUAGGCGGUCUGUCGCGUCUGCUGUGAAAACUCGGGGCUUAACCCCGGGCCUGCAGUGGGUACGGGCAGACUAGAGUGCGGUAGGGGAGACUGGAAUUCCUGGUGUAGCGGUGAAAUGCGCAGAUAUCAGGAAGAACACCCGUGGCGAAGGCGGUUCUCUGGGACGGUACUGACGCUGAGACGCGAAAGCGUGGGGAGCGAACAGG
rnacentral:rRNA from 1 species